GCCACUUUGGUGUUCUUGAAGUUAUUUUUCUCUCCAAAUCAAAUUGAAAAGGAGCUAAGAAACUACACCAAGGAGAUUUUCUGUUUUUCAGUGUGAAGCGUCCGGACGGUCUCUCUUGGCAUCCGGACGGGUGGAGCUUAGUCGUCCGGAAGGUUCAGCUUUCA